CCUACGGGGGGCAGCAGUGAGGAAUAUUGGUCAAUGGACGAGAGUCUGAACCAGCCAAGUAGCGUGAAGGAUGACUGCCCUAUGGGUUGUAAACUUCUUUUAUAUGGGAAUAAAAUGUUCCACGUGUGGGAUUUUGUAUGUACCAUAUGAAUAAGGAUCGGCUAACUCCGUGCCAGCAGCCGCGGUAAUACGGAGGAUCCGAGCGUUAUCCGGAUUUAUUGGGUUUAAAGGGAGCGUAGGUGGAUUGUUAAGUCAGUUGUGAAAGUUUGCUGCUCAACCGUAAAAUUGCAGUUGAAACUGGCAGUCUUGAGUACAGUAGAGGUGGGCGGAAUUCGUGGUGUAGCGGUGAAAUGCUUAGAUAUCACGAAGAACUCCGAUGGCGAAGGCAGCUCACUGGACUGCAACUGACACUGAGGAUCGAAAGUGUGGGUAGCAAACAGGAUUAGAUACCCGUGUAGUC
rnacentral:rRNA from 1 species